CGGAGGGUGCAAGCGUUAUCCGGAUUCACUGGGUUUAAAGGGUGCGUAGGUGGGCAGGUAAGUCAGCGGUGAAAUCCCCGAGCUUAACUUGGGAACUGCCAUUGAUACUAUCUGUCUUGAAUACCUUGGAGGUGAGCGGAAUAUGUCAUGUAGCGGUGAAAUGCUUAGAUAUGACAUAGAACACCAAUUGCGAAGGCAGCUCACUACACGGUCAUUGACACUGAGGCACGAAAGCGUGGGGAUCAAACAGGAUUAGAUACCCUGGUAGUCCACGCCCUAAACGAUGGAUACUCGACAUCAGCGAUACACUGUUGGUGUCUGAGCGAAAGCAUUAAGUAUCCCACCUGGGAAGUACGACCGCAAGGUUG
rnacentral:rRNA from 1 species